UACGGGGGGAGCAAGCGUUGUUCGGAUUUACUGGGCGUAAAGGGCGCGUAGGCGGUCAGCACAAGUCAGUUGUGAAAUCUCCGGGCUUAACUCGGAAAGGUCAACUGAUACUGUGCGACUAGAGUGCGGAAGGGGCAACUGGAAUUCUCGGUGUAGCGGUGAAAUGCGUAGAUAUCAGGAGGAACACCGGUGGCGAAGGCGGGUCUCUGGGCCGAUACUGACGCUGAGGAGCGAAAGCGUGGGGAGCGAUCCGG
rnacentral:rRNA from 1 species